rnacentral:rRNA from 1 species
CUGCCAAGAUACAUUAGCAUGGGAUAAUGGAAUAGGACCCUGUCCUCCUAUUUUCAGUUGGUUUUGGCAGCGCGAGGACUAGGGUAAUGAUUAAUAGGGAUAGUUGGGGGCAUUAAUAUUUAAUUGUCAGAGGUGAAAUUCUUGGAUUUAUGAAAGAUUAACUUCUGCGAAAGCAUCUGCCAAGGAUGUUUUCAUUAAUCAAGAACGAAAGUUAGGGGAUCGAAGACGAUCAGAUACCGUCGUAGUCUUAACCAUAAACGAUGCCGACCAGCGAUUAGGAGACGUUGAAUACAAAACACCACCAUCGGUGCGGUCGUCCUUGGCGUCGGUCUUUCGGGGCCGGCGCGGGGACGGCUUAGCCCGGUGGCACCGGUGAAUGACUCCCUAGCAGCCCUUUGGUUGAGA